AACGAACGCUGGCGGCGUGCCUAACACAUGCAAGUCGGACGGACUCAUUUUGAAGUAGCAAUACGGAGAGGUGAGUUAGUGGCGGACGGGUGAGUAACACGUAGGUAACCUACCCUUAAGAGGGGGGCAACUCAGGGAAACUUGAGCUAAUACCCCAUAAGACCCCGGGCUGGGAGGCUUGAGGUAAAAGGUAGCGAUAUGCUUAAGGAUGGGCCUGCGGCCUAUCAGGUAGUUGGUGAGGUAACGGCCCACCAAGCCUAAGACGGGUAGCCGGGCUGAGAGGUUGAACGGCCACACUGGAACUGAGAAACGGUCCAGACUCCUACGGGAGGCUG
rnacentral:rRNA from 1 species